rnacentral:rRNA from 1 species
CCAGACUCCUACGGGAGGCAGCAGUGGGGAAUAUUGCACAAUGGGGGAAACCCUGAUGCAGCGACGCCGCGUGAGUGAAGAAGUAUUUCGGUAUGUAAAGCUCUAUCAGCAGGGAAGAAAAUGACGGUACCUGACUAAGAAGCUCCGGCUAAAUACGUGCCAGCAGCCGCGGUAAUACGUAUGGAGCAAGCGUUAUCCGGAUUUACUGGGUGUAAAGGGAGCGCAGGCGGCGCGCCAAGUCUGGUGUGAAACCCCGGGGCUCAACCCCGGGACUGCAUUGGAAACUGGCGUGCUGGAGUGUCGGAGGGGCAGGCGGAAUUCCUGGUGUAGCGGUGAAAUGCGUAGAUAUCAGGAGGAACACCGGUGGCGAAGGCGGCCUGCUGGACGACAACUGACGCUGAGGCUCGAAAGCGUGGGGAGCAAACAGGAUUAGAUACCCCUGUA